UACAGAGGUCUCAAGCGUUGUUCGGAUUCAUUGGGCGUAAAGGGUGUGUAGGUGGCGCCGUAAGUCGGGUGUGAAAUUUCGGAGCCUAACUCCGAAACUGCAUUCGAUACUGCGGUGCUUGAGGACUGGAGAGGAGACUGGAAUUCAUGGUGUAGCAGUGAAAUGCGUAGAGGUCAUGAGGAAGACCAGUGGCGAAGGCGGGUCUCUGGACAGUUCCUGACACUGAGACACGAAGGCCAGGGGAGCAAACGGG
rnacentral:rRNA from 1 species